GAUGAACGCUGGCGGCGUGCCUAAUACAUGCAAGUCGAGCGAACGGAUGAGGAGCUUGCUCCUCUGACGUUAGCGGCGGACGGGUGAGUAACACGUGGAUAACCUACCUAUAAGACUGGGAUAACUUCGGGAAACCGGAGCUAAUACCGGAUAAUAUUUUGAACCGCAUGGUUCAAUAGUGAAAGACGGUUUUGCUGUCACUUAUAGAUGGAUCCGCGCCGCAUUAGCUAGUUGGUAAGGUAACGGCUUACCAAGGCAACGAUGCGUAGCCGACCUGAGAGGGUGAUCGGCCACACUGGAACUGAGACACGGUCCAGACUCCUACGGGAGGCAGCAGUAGGGAAUCUUCCGCAAAGGGCGAAAGCCUGACGGAGCAACGCCGCGUGAGUGAUGAAGGUCUUCGGAUCGUAAAACUCUGUUAUUGGGGAAGAACAUAUGUGUAAGUAACUAUGCACGUCUUGACGGUACCUAAUCAGAAAGCCACGGCUAACUACGUG
rnacentral:rRNA from 1 species